UUGUUUACGCCAUCAAGGCACCACUUAUCUUACUCUGUCAUGGCUGUGUGCAUCGAUUGAUGCAGAGGCCGGGGCUUUUCCCCCUUUUCGAAAAAAAAAACUUAUCUUACUCUGUUAGAUGAUCUCAAAAUCAUCCUCUUAUGCCAUUCUGCGCAGAUUGCACAAUUUAAGCAUAUCCUGGGAGUGAAGCCAACACCUCCAGGUUUACUACGUGGUGUUCCUACCAAAACUUAUUCAAGAUCUACGGACCUCCCAAAAGAGUUUGAUGCCAGAUCUAAAUGGUCUGGUUGCAGCACAAUUGGGACCAUACUUGGUAAGUUUGACUAGGCACCUCAAUGUUUUCUAUUACCACUUUCAACCAGAAAUAUGUUCUUCAUCGUUUUGAAUAAACUGAUCCACUUCAUUUCCUCAUCUUUUUGGGCAAUACCAUGGAAAAUGCUGAUUUCCGCGAGCAGAUCAAGUAAGUCUAUGCAGUCUACCUUAAAUUGUUAGUACCAUAAUUGCAUACUGGACAAUGCAAGAGGCUCAAGGUAUAUGUCUGGUUUAAUUAUAACAGGGUCACUGUGGUUCUUGCUGGGCCUUCGGUGCUGUGGAGUGUCUCCAGGAUCGUUUCUGCAUUCAUCUUAACAUGGUGAGUGCAUAUGAACUAAAUGCCUGUUCUCAGGACUACUUUUAAACCGGCAUCUUCAGUCUUUUUUUAUUACAUAACCAAGCUGAUGUUUCUUUUGCUCGCAGAACAUCUCACUUUCUGUCAAUGACCUAGUGGCUUGCUGUGGUUUUAUGUGUGGUGAUGGUUGUGAUGGAGGAUAUCCUAUCAGCGCAUGGCAGUACCUCGUUGAGAAUGGUGUUGUUACUGACGAGGUAUACCUUACUCUUCUGAUUUCUCCCCCUUGAAUAUUCAGAUCCUCUAAGUGCAAUUCUGUUAUCAUAUCACUUAUAGUUUUAUUUCUAUGUUCUAACUUCUGACUACAAUAUCUUGAUGAAAAACUUCUAACUAGAAUGGUUAGUGUGUGGAAUAUGUGAAACAAUGCAAUGGAAACAGGAUGUCUUAUCAAGUUUAAUGCACACAUCAACAGAAUUCUGCUAUUUGUGAAGAAAUUUUGCAGUUGAGUUCUAGUGCAUGUCUCAUCUGGUGCUAAAUAAACAUUUUACAUUCGAAUCAAAACAUUGGAAAGUAGUAUUGGGUGAAUUUGCAAGUUAACAGAGAACACUGAAGAGUACAAUAUGCUUCUACUACUUUCUGAUGUUUAAAAAUUUCAGCUUGAUCUUCAAGAAAAUUUCUCCCGAUGAACAUACAUGGCUUUUCUUUGCUUACAUAGAAUGGCUACUAGUUAGAUUGUCUCCACAAAUGGUGGCUGCUUUGUCCAGCUGAACUGUUUAUGGUUUUCUCUUCUUUAAUAUUAUCCAAUAAUAUUAUUUAUUCAAGUAGGAGACCAGCCUGCCUUUUGUUGUAUAAUACUAUGUUUGCUUGGCAGACCAUUGACCCUGAUCUCUUUCACUGUUUUGCAGUGCGAUCCAUACUUUGAUCAGGUUGGCUGCAAGCAUCCUGGAUGCGAACCUGCUUAUCCUACACCAGCAUGUGAAAAGAAAUGCAAGGUGCAGAACCAAGUUUGGCAGGAAAAGAAACAUUUCAGCAUCAAUGCAUACAGAGUAAAUUCUGAUCCACAUGACAUAAUGGCGGAGGUCUACAAAAAUGGCCCUGUAGAAGUUGCUUUCACAGUUUAUGAGGUAACUUUAAUAUGAUUUACUCCCUAUUCUUGAUUUUUUACGUUGAUUUACCAAUUCUGUCAAAAUGUUGGUUAACCAAAGACAUAGACUACGGGUCAGAGUUACUGUUAUUACUUUGAUAUGAACAAACAGAAUACAAAAAAACUUUGAAAAGCUGUAAAUCUGGAUGAACCAUUUUCUUUAGAAAAGGACAUGCCAAUAGGGGAGAGAAUAACAAAAUAUAUGUACUUGAGUGAGCACACUGAAAUAGUUUUGUAAUUCUUCAAGCUUUGAAUUUUCCCAGUCAGCUAAUCAUCUGAUACACAGAACAUAUGAUCUGUGAUUAUUUAUAUAAUAUGGUAAUUCUAUGAUGAGGAUUAAAAGAAAGAAAGUAUCCUCAAAAAAAGGAAUCAAAAGAGAGUGCUUUGUUUCUCUGGUUACUGAUUUAAUACUGCCAAAUUGUGAAGGACUUUGCACACUACAAAUCUGGAGUCUACGAGCACAUCACAGGUGAAAUGAUGGGAGGUCAUGCUGUCAAGCUGAUUGGAUGGGGAACCAGUGCUGAUGGCAAAGAUUACUGGGUAUCUUGCUGAUUCUCUAUGUUACACUAUUUGAACCAAUGGUCAAGUUCUAAUUUGUUUUCUUUUGACUUCUGCUUUUCAGCUUCUUGCAAAUCAGUGGAACAGAGGCUGGGGUGAUGUGAGUUUGUGAUAACUACCCUUCAGUAUUAUUGAAGUGCCACAGUGAAUGUUAGUAGCAUGCGUUUAGCUAAUUAAUAAAUGUUGGCUGGUAAUGCAUUGCAGGACGGAUACUUCAAGAUCAUAAGGGGCAAGAAUGAGUGUGGCAUCGAAGAAGAUGUGGUUGCCGGUAUGCCCUCAACAAAGAACACUGUCAGGACCGGCGCCUAUGGAACGGCUAUACUUUGAACAGCGCCGGCCUCAAAUGCAGUUCCAGUUAGCUAUUUUCACGCCAGAUGAAGUGGGUAAACUAGCUUUGGUGGUUCCAAGAAACUAUUCCCCGUACACUAGCACACGUUCACAACGUUGAUAUGUUGUUGUAAUCGCAACACUUGUUCAUAAACAAAAUGGAAUAAUAUCAAGUAUUAUGAAAGCAAGCAAUCGUACGAUGCUUUUUGUAUGUUUGUUUUACGACGCUGCAGCAUUUUGUGGAAAAGCAUCAGUAAAUGCAGUGAAAACAAGAAUGCAAUUUCGCUCAUUAUAAAUUCUGAUCACGGAUUACAAGAUGCGUCAAUCUUCUAUUUCUGUAUUGACGAAAAAUAAGAAGAAAAGAAACCAAUCCCUUCCAACCCCCAGCUUCCCGCUUCGCUUUGCUGAACAAAGAUCAGACCUAAAUAAUCCCCAGGCACUCAUCUUCAGAUGUUGGUGAAAUGGAAUCGGGGCGCGCGCAGGCAAAAAAUAUCGGCGGUCGCCAUCGUAUCGGAGGCGUAGCGUCUGCGCCCGCCUCGCCCUCCCUCCGUCCCCGGAACCAAUAAAAAGGGGCAGCGUAUGCGAGGAGGAGGAGGAGAAAGCAAAGCAACCCCAUCAGCAGCAGCUUCUACUGAUUGCUUCUCCUGCAGUGGCCGAUCGAGGAAGAUGAGGGGCGUCUCCCUUGCGCUGCCGCUGGCGCUGCUCGUCGCCUUCUGUGCUGCUGCUGCCCCGCAGGUUCGCUUCUUCUACCGCGAUCCCAUGUUUUAGAAAGUCAAAGCCCUUCGAUUUCUUCCUCGCAAGAUCCAAAUCCUGUUUGGUUCGUUACUUAGUUAGCGGAGAUUAACUCGGUUGGGUUUUCCGUUUACCGGGAAGUUGGGAUCGCCGGCUCUAGUUUGUUUUUCAAGAAUUUCAGUAUCUCUCCGCGUUUACGCAAUCAUAAUUUAUUACAAAUGGGUAACUGAAGCGGACAGAAAUGACAAAUGUCGACAAGAAGAAGAAAAAUGUCAACAAAUAUCUACCACACCAACCAGUGAAGGCCUGCAGGCAGGGCUCCAGCUGGGUGCUUCCCUUGGCUGUAAUCGCCUGCUUAUUCACUCGCAUUGCUUGGAAGCAAUACUUUGUGAAGGUCUUGUUUGAGUUUUGUCCAAGGGAGGCGAAUGAAGCGGUAAACUUGUUUCUUAGAGGAAAGGCUAAGCGGUAAACUUGUUAGCGAAUCACGCUAGAUCAUAGACAUCUCAGACCUGGUUGGAUGAUACACCGGGAUUUUUACUUCAUAAUGAUUAACGAUGUAAGUUCGUUUGUUAUGUAACAAAGCAGUCUUUUGGUGUAAAAGAAACCCAGUGAAGGCCAGGCCAGAGCUCUGCUGUUCUCUAGUCACUAGUGCUGCAGACCUCAGAAGCUUAGCAGAUAGGCUUCUUCAUCUGCCGCAGGUGGACGGCAGUGAUAGGCUUGAUGAAUAGCUCUGAAACAAAAUUCAAUCUUUUCUUUUUUGGAAGAACAAAACUCGAACCCUAACACCAAGCAAAUAAGUUUGGUGACAAUAUGCACCAGUAACAUUAAGGAAUCAAUCAUGAUGUUAUGCAUCUAUCUGAACCAUAUAUAUUUGCUUCAAGAUAUGAAUGACAUUUGUAUAUGUACGCGCAGCUCGUUGGAGCAGCAAGGGGAGACAAUUCCCUCAGAAUCAUCCAGGUCAUUUAUUUCUCCCCCUCAAAUUGACCUCAUCUUUAUAUCUACUACUUCACAGCUUCUAUUGUCCAUGUAUGUAUCUGCUCAUCCUCAUCAUGGUAUGGUGGUUUGCUGUCGCAGAAUGACAUCAUAGAGACGAUCAAUAAGCAUCCAAAUGCCGGGUGGACAGCUGGUCACAACCCCUACUUUGCAAACUACACAGUAAAUAACAACACCCUCUUGUUGACAUCAUCAAGGCACAAGCUAUCUCACUAUGUUUGCUGAUCUCAAAAUCAUCCUCUUCCGUGCAGAUUACACAAUUUAAGCAUAUCCUGGGAGUGAAGCCAACACCUCCGGCUUUACUAGCUGGUGUUCCAACCAAAUCUUAUUCAAGAUCAAUGAAGCUCCCAACGGAGUUCGACGCUAGAUCUCAAUGGUCUGGUUGCAGCACAAUUGGGACCAUACUUGGUAAGUUUAAUGAGGUACCUCAAUGUUCAGCCAUUUUCAACCUGAAAUCAGUUUUUCGUCCUUUUGAAUACUUCGACAGUUUGACCCACUCCAUUUCCUCUUCUUUGCAAUAUCCUGGAAAAUGCUGAUUUCCGUGAGCAGAUCAAGUAAGUCUAUUCACACAACCUUAAAUGGUUAGCUCCAUGAGUGCUUACCAAAUAAUACAAGAUGCUCAAGGUAUUAUAUCUUGGAUGACGAUGACAGGGUCAUUGUGGUUCUUGUUGGGCCUUUGGUGCCGUGGAGUGUCUCCAGGAUCGUUUCUGCAUUCACCUCAACAUGGUGAGUGCAUAUGAACGACGUGCCUGUUCUGAGACUACUUUCAAAUAGGCAUGUUUGGUCAUUUUUCUCACAUAACCAAGCUGCUGUUUGUACUCCUUGCAGAACAUCUCACUUUCAGUCAAUGACCUACUGGCUUGCUGUGGGUUUUUGUGUGGUUCUGG
rnacentral:lncRNA from 1 species